AGAGCUGCUCGUGGCAGAUGAUGGUCCAUACAGAUCCUAACACAGGAGACUAUCUCAGUUGAGGAGAACCCUCCCAUUCAGGCGCUCCCUAUCAGCUAAGAAAAAGCCUCAAAAGAGUGAUGUUUUCAGCCAUGAUAAGGAACUCUGUUAGUCCUAGCUUUUGUGGUCUUCAAUGGAUAUGGCAUAUCCCAGAGGGAAACAUGAACAGAGGACGACAGUCAACAUUUCCUCAACAUGUAAAGAGCUGCUCUCUCUUGGAGUUUGGAGAUGUAGAGAACUGGAAAGAGCACCACUUCUGUACUUCAGAACAUCAAAUGAAUGGUUUUCCUGAACCCGACCAAUACCUGAAGUCAGAGUGCAACUAUCUAACAAAAUCUGGGAAAUAACAGGACCUAAAAGAAGAACCAUGACCCAGUCAUUUCUUACCUGAGAUAAACAUUGUUGUUUUCAAA